ACUACGGGUGGCAGCAGUGAGGAAUAUUGGUCAAUGGACGCAAGUCUGAACCAGCCAUGCCGCGUGCAGGAAGACGGCUCUAUGAGUUUUAAACUGCUUUUGUACGAGGGUAAACGCAGAUACGCGUAUCUGUCUGAAAGUAUCGUACGAAUAAGGAUCGGCUAACUCCGUGCCAGCAGCCGCGGUAAUACGGAGGAUUCAAGCGUUAUACGGAUUUAUUGGGUUUAAAGGGUGCGUAGGCGGUAGGAUAAGUUAGAGGUGAAAUCCCGAGGCGCAACUUCGGAAUUGCCUUUGAUACUGUUCGACUAGAGAGUAGUUGCGGUAGGCGGAAUGUAUGGUGUAGCGGUGAAAUGCUUAGAGAUCAGACAGAACACCGAUUGCGAAGGCAGCUUACCAAGCUACUUCUGACGUUGAGGCACGAAAGCGUGGGGAGCAAACAGGAUUAGAUACCCUUGUAGUC
rnacentral:rRNA from 1 species